rnacentral:rRNA from 1 species
GACGAACGCUGGCGGCGUGCCUAAUACAUGCAAGUGGGACGCAAGGAAACACACUGUGCUUGCACACCGUGUUUUCUUGAGUCGCGAACGGGUGAGUAACGCGUAGGUAACCUGCCUAUUAGCGGGGGAUAACUAUUGGAAACGAUAGCUAAUACCGCAUAAUAUUAAUUAUUGCAUGAUAAUUGAUUGAAAGAUGCAAGCGCAUCACUAGUAGAUGGACCUGCGUUGUAUUAGCUAGUUGGUAAGGUAAGAGCUUACCAAGGCGACGAUACAUAGCCGACCUGAGAGGGUGAUCGGCCACACUGGGACUGAGACACGGCCCAGACUCCUACGGGAGGCAGCAGUAGGGAAUCUUCGGCAAUGGACGAAAGUCUGACCGAGCAACGCCGCGUGAGUGAAGAAGGUUUUCGGAUCGUAAAGCUCUGUUGUAAGUCAAGAACGUGUGUGAGAGUGGAAAGUUACACAGUGACGGUAGCUACCAGAAAG